rnacentral:rRNA from 1 species
CCUACGGGAGGCAGCAGUGGGGAAUUUUGGACAAUGGGGGCAACCCUGAUCCAGCCAUGCCGCGUGAGUGAAGAAGGCCUUCGGGUUGUAAAGCUCUUUCGGCCGGGAAGAAAUCGCUUAGGUUAAUACCCUGAGUGGAUGACGGUACCGGAAUAAGAAGCACCGGCUAACUACGUGCCAGCAGCCGCGGUAAUACGUAGGGUGCGAGCGUUAAUCGGAAUUACUGGGCGUAAAGCGUGCGCAGGCGGUUUUGUAAGACAGGCGUGAAAUCCCCGGGCUCAACCUGGGAACUGCGCUUGUGACUGCAUCACUCGAGUACGGCAGAGGGGGGUGGAAUUCCACGUGUAGCAGUGAAAUGCGUAGAGAUGUGGAGGAACACCGAUGGCGAAGGCAGCCCCCUGGGCCGAUACUGACGCUCAUGCACGAAAGCGUGGGUAGCAAACAGGAUUAGAUACCCUGGUAGUC